rnacentral:piRNA from 1 species
UACUAAUCCACAAACAUUGCUCUUAAUCC